CUAAGGUCCCAAAGUCAUGGUUAAGUGGGAAACGAUGUGGGAAGGCCCAGACAGCCAGGAUGUUGGCUUAGAAGCAGCCAUCAUUUAAAGAAAGCGUAAUAGCUCACUGGUCGAGUCGGCCUGCGCGGAAGAUGUAACGGGGCUAAACCAUGCACCGAAGCUGCGGCAGCGACGCUGAUGCGUUGUUGGGUAGGGGAGCGUUCUGUAAGCCUGUGAAGGUGGCCUGUGAGGGUUGCUGGAGGUAUCAGAAGUGCGAAUGCUGACAUAAGUAACGAUAAAGCGGGUGAAAAGCCCGCUCGCCGGAAGACCAAGGGUUCCUGUCCAACGUUAAUCGGGGCAGGGUGAGUCGACCCCUAAGGCGAGGCCGAAAGGCGUAGUCGAUGGGAAACGGGUUAAUAUUCCCGUACUUGGUGUUACUGCGAAGGGGGGACGGAGAAGGCUAUGUUGGCCGGGCGACGGUUGUCCCGGUUUAAGCGUGUAGGUGUGUGUUCCAGGUAAAUCCGGUUCACUUUAACACUGAGGCGUGAUGACGAGGCACUACGGUGCUGAAGCAACAAAUGCCCUGCUUCCAGGAAAAGCCUCUAAGCAUCAGGUAACAUCAAAUCGUACCCCAAACCGACACAGGUGGUCAGGUAGAGAAUACCAAGGCGCUUGAGAGAACUCGGGUGAAGGAACUAGGCAAAAUGGUGCCGUAACUUCGGGAGAAGGCACGCUGACAC
rnacentral:rRNA from 1 species